UAGCGGAGGAAAAGAAACCAACAGGGAUUGCCUUAGUAGCGGCGAGUGAAGCGGCAAAAGCUCAAAUUUGAAAUCUGGCUCUUUCAGAGUCCGAGUUGUAAUUUGAAGAAGGUAUCUUUGGGUCUGGCUCUUGUCUAUGUUUCUUGGAACAGAACGUCACAGAGGGUGAGAAUCCCGUGCGAUGAGAUGAUCCAGGCCUAUGUAAAGUUCCUUCGAAGAGUCGAGUUGUUUGGGAAUGCAGCUCUAAGUGGGUGGUAAAUUCCAUCUAAAGCUAAAUAUUGGCGAGAGACCGAUAGCGAACAAGUACAGUGAUGGAAAGAUGAAAAGAACUUUGAAAAGAGAGUGAAAAAGUACGUGAAAUUGUUGAAAGGGAAGGGCUUGAGAUCAGACUUGGUAUUUUGUAUGUUACUUCUUCGGGGGUGGCCUCUACAGUUUAUCGGGCCAGCAUCAGUUUGGGCGGUAGGAGAAUUGCGUUGGAAUGUGGCACGGCUUCGGUUGUGUGUUAUAGCCUUCGUCGAUACUGCCAGCCUAGACUGAGGACUGCGGUUUAUACCUAGGAUGUUGGCAUAAUGAUCUUAAGUCGCCCGUCUUGAACACGGACCA
rnacentral:rRNA from 1 species